rnacentral:lncRNA from 1 species
GCCGAAAACGAGGAGAUUGCACGGCGGAGCGCAGCGGCGGAGGACGUCGGAGAUCGAUUUCAUCUCUCCGUAUGACAUGUGGAAGCUGUCGUUAGAUCUCGACGCGUAGUGGAGCAGAGCAUUGAUGGCGCUCGUUGGCAACUGAGAGGUCGGAGUGUUGGAGACGGCUGAGUUGACGACGGAGGAGACGACGGUGCUGUUUUUGGAAGAGAUGAUGGUGUCGGUGGUGUAGAGUAGAGUGAGUAGAAAAGCGAUGGUGAAGAAAGAGACAAAAGCGAGAAGCCAUAGACGAUUUGAGCUUGUUUGUUUUUGAAUGUAUGGAUGAACAAGUAUGAGCUUCGUGUUUGUGUUUCCUCCGCUUUUCAUUUUUCUUACCUCUGUUUUUUUGUUUUGUUCCUUUUUGUCAGAGGAAGAAACGAAGCGAAUGACUCCGUUUUAAAAGUGGUUUUGCGAAGUAUUAAAAACCAAAUAUUUGAAGUAGAACCUAUCAGAGACUGACGACGAUUGGUCAAUCCUAUAAUAUAUAAUUUUAAUAUUCUAUAAUAUUAAUUGAUCGCUCUGGAAUUUUUAUUAAUUCUGUGUAACCUUUCCUUAAAAUAUUUGUUUCGUUUAUGAUAUUUCUGAAAGCGACAUUUCUCUAAUACAAAUUAACAAGAUAACAUUUAUCUAACAAGGAGAUUACCUAAUUCACAAAUUACAGUAAGCUUUUUUAUUUUUGAACAACCUCAGUAAGCUAUAUUUUUGUCAACACACAAUAUACUAAAUAAGAUUUUCUUUUUUUAUCAUAAACUAAAUAAGAUUUAAAUACUGGAAGUGCGACUAAAGGAGUUUUGUUCAAAUUUGCAAAGAGGAACAUUGAAAGUUAAAUACGUUGUUCACUGAUUUUUGUGUGUAGUUGUAUGAACAUCUUCAAAAAAAACUCUAUAAUUUCAAAUAUUAAGUUUUUUGAUCUUCAAAAAAAAUUUUAAUUUAAAAAAAAUAUGAAGUUUCACUAUGCAAAACUCUAAAUUUGAAGUUUUAUCUUUUUAUUUUCAUUUUAUUCCUUAUAAUUAAUUAUACAUCACAUUUAUAAUUUCUAUGUAGUUUUUCGUUUACCAUUUUAAUCUUUAAAAUUUUUAUAUAUCGGAAAUAUUUCAAAUUUAUUUUUAUAAAUUUUACACAUAAAAUUAAAUAAAUUUUUUUAAUAAGAUUUAUAAUAUUUUAAAACUAGAAUUAGGCAACAAGAAUAUUACAAAAGAAACUUAAUAAUUUUUUAAAAAAGUUAUACAUGAAGACAUAAUUAUCACGCAAAUUUUGAAUAUUAUAACAAUACUAGUAGUCUAGUAAAUUUUCUCUAGAACCUUUAAAAUAUUGUCCAAACAAAUUUUGUGUAACCAAAGAUGUAACAUUAUAGAAAUAAUUUUAUGGAAUAAUUUGGUAUUUUGCUUGUGUUUAAAUAUUUAAUUAUUUAAUUAUUUAUUUAUAUUUAUAAUUUUAUAUUUUAGUGUAAUAUUUUAUUAAUUAAUAUUACUGUAAUAUUUUUAUAUAUGUGCUAAUUAUUUGUAAAAAAUUUAUGGAUUUAUAUUAAUUAUGACAAAUACAAAGAUCAUAGGGUAAAUUACAAAUAAUUUUUAAAUUAAAUUUAAAUUUUUGUUGGAGAAAAACACUUUGAAAUUUCAUAUAUAGAAUUUUGAAAACUCUAAAAUAGAGAGAUUUUUUUUUCUUGACUGAUUUAUGUGUAGAUCUUUCUUUAUGUGUAGUUGUAAGACAUAAAUUUUUGUGUAGUUGCAAGACAUAAAUUUACCAUAAUAAAUUUAAAUGCGACUUGUGGUUUUUAUGUGUAGAUCUUUAUGUGUUACAACAUAAUUUUUUAUGUGUAGUUGUAACUUGUAAGACAUAAGUUUACCAUAAUAAUUUAAAACUGAACGAGAAAAAAUAAUUAACGACUUAUAUUAAUUACUAGAGUCCCUAAUAAUUAACAAGAUCUUUAAACUAUAAUGCGACUUGUAAUUUUUAUGUGUAGACCGUUAGAGCACAGUGACCUUAAGAGUAGUUUGAAGCUUGGUUUAUUGAGUUGUUAAGAUUGUUUGGGGCGUUUUGGUUUCAGGUGUCCUCAACGUAUAGCGAGGCGAGGGAACUAUGGUGCAUUCUUGAUGGAUAAUCUUCCUUUGGUGAAAUCACUUGUUGAAAAGUUAGCUCAGAACCUCACUGUUCCUGUCUCCUGCAAGAUCCGGAUUUUCCCUAACCUUCAAGAUACGCUCAACUACGCCAAGAUGCUUGAAGACGCUGGUUGCUCGCUGCUAGCGGUUCACGGCCGGACCAGAGAUGAGAAAGACGGUAAAAAGUUCAGAGCCGAUUGGGGCGCCAUCAAGGAGGUGAGAAACGCUCUGAGAAUCCCUGUUUUAGCCAAUGGGAAUGUGAGAUGCAUUGAAGAUGUGGAGGACUGCAUCAAAGAGACGGGCGUUGAAGGUGUUCUUUCCGCUGAGACGCUUCUUGAAAACCCGGCGGUCUUUGCCGGGUUUAGAACAGCUGAAUGGGCUAAAGAUAAUGAAGGAGAGGGAUACGUCGAUGGAGGGUUAGAUCAGGGAGAUUUAGCUGUUGAGUAUUUGAAGUUAUGUGAGAAACAUCCGGUUCCUUGGAGGAUGAUUCGGUCUCACGUGCAUAAGAUGUUGGGAGAUUGGUUUAGAGUGCAUCCACAGGUUAGGGAGCAGCUUAAUGCUCAGAACAUUUUGACGUUUGAGUUUCUGUAUGGUCUUGUGGAUCAGUUAAAAGAGCUUGGUGGACGAGUUCCACUCUACAAGAAAAGGAAGAUAGAUACCCUACAAGAGUCUCCACAAAAGGAUUUAGAGAGUUGAAUCUAUACGUUCUUGAUUCAUUGUGAUUUUUAUGUUGUAUCUCCAAAUACUUUUUGAAUUAAAAGUGUUACUUACUCCCUAUAAUUCAUUUUAAAAUGUCAUUUUAACACUUUUUGUUAUUUUCAAAUUUCAGUACAACAUUCCACUUAUUUUAAGCUUAAUAUAUUAAUUUCUAAAUAAUUUUAUAUUCUCAAAUACUAUUAGUUAAAAAUGUGUAACUAAUAACAUAAAUACAUUUCAAUUAUUUUUUAAAAAUUGUGAAAUAUCAAAAAUAUACAUAUGGAUGGAUAUAAAUUAAAUGUUAGAUUAAUAUUUUUUGUAGCUAAGUUCCUUCUCAAGAAUAUAGGGGUGGGCACUUCGGUUAUUUUAUCGGUUCGGUUCGAGUUUGGUUCGGUUUGGUUAGUUCAGUUCUAGAUUUUUUUCAGCUGAAGUAAACCAUAGUUAGUUUGGUUUGGAUCGAUUUCGGUUCGGUUAUGUUCGGUUCGGUUUAUAUUCGGUUUGGUUCAUAUUCAAUUCGGUUUGUAUUUCGGUUCGGUUCAGUUUAAUCGGAUUUUUCUUAGUUUAUUUAUUGUACAAGAAAUUAUGUUUUAAUACAUAAAUGUAUGGUUGUCAUGAAAUAAUCAUGUUGGUCAUAAUAAAAAAUUAAGUAUGUAAAUUAAAUUUAAUAUAAAACCAAAAUAAAAACCUUUUAAAAUGUUACAAAUAUAGUUUAUAACUUUAUAAGAAUUCAAUCAAACCAAAAUUAACUAAAUAAAAAGAAAAAAACAAUAUUUUUGUCUCUUAAGAAUUAAAAAAAGCAUGUAAUAAGUCAUCUUCCAUGUGAUAUCAUCAAAAAAAGCUGCAACGAAUCAAUAAUUAGUAUAUGUUAUAUAUAUACUAUACGAGUAUUUAUCUAUAUUUUUACUAUAACUCUACACCCAUGAUUCCAUAUUGUUCUUUUCACUAACAAAAAUUGAAAACAGAACACGUCUUUGAGAGAAAUACAAUAAUGGUUACACAAAAGCAUGAAACCGUAUAAUAAAUUAUAUUAGUUUCAUGGAAAUCAAACUAUAUUAGGAUUUUCUUAGUGUAAAAGAAAAUUACGUGGGCUUAAUCUUAGGAUUUUAAUUUACUAAUAUUUUUAAUUUAAAUAACUAUAAAACACUUCGGUUUAUCGGUUCGGUUCGGUUUAAACUGAACUGAACUGAACCGUUCGGGUUGGGAAAAUCUUCAACCGAAUGAUUUGAAAUAAACUUUGAUUUGGUUCGAAUCAGUUUCGGUUCGGUCGGUUCAGUUCGAUCGGUUCGGUUCGGUUUUUUUGCCCACCCCUAAGAAUAUACGUUUUUGUAAAGUUUUAAUUGAUUGAAAUUUUCACAUGGGUCAAAGAUUUGAAUAUUACAGUACAGUAGGAGAAAAGAUACAAAGGUGGAAAAAACAAGGUUUUUAUUUUACUGAAACUCCUCCGCGAUUGACGUUGUCAACCACCAGGUCCACCACCGUCGUCUGUCUGUUGAUUGCUCUCCACAAGAUUUAGCGCACAUUUUACUCAAGGGGACGGAGACGCAGGGCGUUUCUUACGAUCACGACAGAACUGCGUGCUGUUCUUAUCCAUCCUCUCCAAAACGUAGUGCGCAAGCAUGUCGUUAGAUUCCACAAGAUUCUCCCGACAAAGAAACUCAUCGCCACAAAGUCUCUCGAUCUCUCUGUAAUAAUCGUGAACGAACACAUGCGUCUUGUGAUUCCCUCCGGAUUUUUUGCUCCGAGCAAGGACCGCCGCCGUGAAGAUCGACGACAUCCUUCCCGGCACAUCUCCACCGUCGCCGCGUGGUCCGUCGACUAAGAUCACAUCCCAGUCAAGAUCGUAGACGUGGUUCGGCAAGUCGUUGAGACCGAGUUUGCAGUCGGAGAAGAGAAGAUUCUGCACGGGACGACACUCGUUCCUCGCCGCCUCUUUGACCGCCGACACAAGCUCACGCGCCUCGCGCGCCUUCGUCGUGUACUGAACGUCGAACACUUCGAUCUCCGGGUGGAUUUCUUCGAAGUAAGCCGCGUAGUAACGGUUCUCUUCGAUGUACACGGUCCGUCCGUUGUGGUUCAGCGAUUUCCAGAGGAGCGUUUCGUGCGUUAGGCCGAAAACGAGGAGAUUGCACGGCGGAGCGCAGCGGCGGAGGACGUCGGAGAUCGAUUUCAUCUCUCCGUAUGACAUGUGGAAGCUGUCGUUAGAUCUCGACGCGUAGUGGAGCAGAGCAUUGAUGGCGCUCGUUGGCAACUGAGAGGUCGGAGUGUUGGAGACGGCUGAGUUGACGACGGAGGAGACGACGGUGCUGUUUUUGGAAGAGAUGAUGGUGUCGGUGGUGUAGAGUAGAGUGAGUAGAAAAGCGAUGGUGAAGAAAGAGACAAAAGCGAGAAGCCAUAGACGAUUUGAG